GGACCUGUGCAGACUGCUGCUGUGAAGACAGGCUCUGGAGAGCUCAACACGGACAACUUUCUCCCUUGUGAUUUUUUUUUUUUCCAAGAGGAUCUGCUCGAUUGGAUUAUACUCUUCUAGGACUAUUAAAUACCAUAAUAGAAACAAAAACGUGCGUCUUGAUUUUGCUUAAUUCUAACAGCUGCGCUUCUGGUUUGAUAUUUCACAGUGAGCUGGGCUGAAGUUUGAAGCCUGUUUGUUAAAAGGGUGAAGGACAAGUGCAAUGCUCUUCAGACUUGUCUCUCAGGAUUGUCCCACUUGCGCCUGAGGUGCUGUGUGUCGAGCAGCCGCACAGAUCUUGUUCAAGAGGACGCAGUCCAAUGUGAAUAACAAGAUUUCAACGUCCAGCCUCUUCUUCAGCUUUUCACAGUUGCAAGCAAGUGCACGGAGUUCCACUGAGCCCGCUGAGCAGCUCGGACACCCCGGUUUCUCUCCCCGAGGGGAUGGUUGUGGAUCCUGUGGGGCCAGGAGCGAUUCUGAGGCUCCUACAGAAUAGCACCUUUUUCUCGUUCGGGGUUACAUCUGAAUUAAAGGGAGAUGAGAGCCGCACUGUGUUACUUCCUGCUUUGGACGACGUACCUGCUGCUGGCCACCUCUGAGGAAGUGGAGUUUCCCCAGGAGCUGAUAGACAGACUCUCCCACAGUGAAAUCCACAGCAUCAGCGACCUCCAGCGGCUACUGGACAUUGACUCCGUAGGUGCGGGAAACAAUGUUAUUGAGGAGCCAAAGCACCACAAGAACAACAACCACCAUAAGAACUACUCCCGUCAUCACCGCUACUACAAUGACCUGAAGAGCUCCCAGCUCCACAGCCGACGCAAGAGGAGCAUUGCAGAGGAGGCGGUCCCGGCGGUGUGUAAGACGCGGACGGUGAUCUACGAGAUCCCCAGGAGCCAGGUGGAUCCAACGUCUGCCAACUUCCUGAUAUGGCCGCCCUGUGUGGAGGUGAAGCGCUGCACGGGCUGCUGCAACACGAGCAACAUGCGCUGUCACCCUUCCCGAAAGCACCAUCGCACCGUUAAGGUAGCAAAGGUGGAGUACGUGAAGAGGAGACCCAAGCUGAAAGAGGUCUUUGUGCGGUUAGAAGACCACCUGGAGUGUGUGUGUGCAUCGCAACAUCAACAUGUGGUGGAGCACUCAGAUGCAGAAACAGGCCACCGUAGGGCUAAGGGUAAAAAAAGGAAACCUAAAAAGCUAAGGCCCAGCAAGGAUUUAUUGGCGACAUAAUAAAGUUGCACUCAUUACCCAAAGUCCACUGAAGAGCUGUGAAGGGAACAGUGGACGUGAGGUGAGACCAAUCAGAACAAGGGACUUCAGCGUGGGAGGGACCUAAAUUGAGGAUGUCACCGACAGGAGACCUGCUCUGUCCUCUUCCCCACUGCCAUGCGACCUUCGUUUUAAAAAGGAUAAACUUUUCUGUUAAGACGAGAGACUGAAAACAAACAACAGACAAAAAUAAAUAUGAUGCCAAAGGUGCUUUUUAAUAAAAAACAGUAACCAGUGAUGAUGGCUUCGUCCGUGGUGAGCCACCUACCCAGACAACUGAACCCUGCCGCUGAUUAAGAAGAAAAGAGAAUGAUGCCUUAGCUCAGGCAGGGCCCACAGAGGCCGAAUGGAGAUGAUGAAAGGGAUUUGUGUUGAACAUUUUGAGACUUUGUUUGAACUAGACGCACAACAGAAACGGCUAUGAAACAGUUGGAUCGAACUUUUGUGGGAAUCCGGUGCUCAGACUCCAAAAACAGCGGUGGAUGAUCUCCAGCUGGGCAGCGUAAAAGUGCCCUGCCCUGUUUAAAUGACUCUUGCUUACACAGGAAGAAAGAAAGAUAAAGGAAAAACAAUGGAAAGAGAGAAAAAGACAGACAAAUGGAAGUGUUAUUUUUUCUAAAAACUCUAUGGAGUGUCAAACUUUUUGAGUUUUUGGAUGUUUGCUCUGAGUAAAAAAGGAGAUCUUCUCUGAGACCCAAGGUGGUCUGUGACUUUGCCCACUUGCUAUGUACAGUUAAAUUUGAAAAAGGACGAUGCGCCGCUACUUACAAACUAUUUAUAUGUGUGGACGUUUGCUUUCUGUCUCUUCCAGUACAUAACAACAAGAAGAAGAAAAGAACAAAAAGAUGUUUUAAUGAUUUUUGGAGACAUGCAAGAGUUCAGUGUGGUCGGGUUCUUUGUAACCAUCAGUAUCACAAUCUCAACGUCAUUUUUUUUUAGUCCAUGUUAUUGUUGUCAUCCAUGUUUCUUAUUAUAUUACAGUAUAUCUGAAUGAUGUCAAGUCUUGUAUAUGGUUUGGAUAUAUGUGUGCAAGGAGGAGAUAUGAGAGUCAGUACAGGAAGAUGCUUUAUUUUUGUUAUGAAAUAUAUUAAGCUUACUUAUAUCCAAGCAGGAAUUAUGUUUAUUUCUUUUGUUGUGGUUGAAUGCCUGUAUUUAAUCCAUUGGAACAGAUGCAAAAAUGAGGGGCAGGAGGUGAAAUAGGCGGGGGAGAAAGUCUGCCACUGCCAAGUCAUUUAUAUAAAAAAAACAUGCAUACAGCACAUUAAAGUAUGUUCAUGCCAAUCACACAAAACAUGUUAGUGCAAAUGUAGUGUGCCAGAAUGAACCCUAAUUUAUCUCCUACAUGAAGCUAUUUUUCCCCCAUAUCACUCUUAACAAUGAUAAUUAAGAUGCCUGCCCGCUCUGCUUCAUAAGCACACAUGUUGUUACUGCAAUGAGCAAAGUCCACCUUAAAGAGUGAAUGAGCGAGCAAAGCAAAUCGACAAGCACAUGAAUGGGCUCCUUGUUUGGUUAGGCUUUACUCGUCUGUUGACAGGAGAGCAAAUCUCUGAUCCCUCCACCCUGUGAAGAUACUGGCACCUUAAGCAGCCACAUACCAUCGGGACAGAUGAUGAUGAGUGUUCAGAGGUGGCCUGACAACAGUACAGUGCUGGCUUGAACCCAUGGCCCCCCGAUGGAGCAAACAAUUACUUCCUUACCGGUUCCUGUAACAGCAAUGAUGAAUGUGUAACCGUGCCAACAAAGUACGAAAACAACGGCCGUCUUCCACCCCAUGUUCAAAUGAGGAAGUCAAAGCUGUAAGAGUGAGUCACUGUGAAGUGAAAGUCAAACGGGAAAAGUUUAAUUGAAACAUGACAGAUCACACACAGCCCAUCUGUGAAUUAACUAACAAUCAGUUGACUGGUGCUAUAUUUAUAAGUCUGAUGUUUCACCACUGCUUGCAUUCACAUCCAUGUAAGAUAUUGUUCUCAGUAAACCAGGGACCACGCUUAGAGAUAUUUGAUUAAAGAAAAUGCCAUUACACUAAGCCUUUAUUACUUUUCUUUUGGGCUUCCAUUGGAUAAAGACAGC